CCCUUCGUGGUGUAAUGGUAGCAUACUCGGCUCGUAUUCGAGAAGUCCAUGUUCGAGUCCUGACAAGGGAU
rnacentral:tRNA from 1 species